rnacentral:rRNA from 1 species
CCUACGGGAGGCAGCAGUGAGGAAUAUUGGUCAAUGGGCGCAAGCCUGAACCAGCCAAGCAGCGUGAAGGACGACGGCCCUAAGGGUUGUAAACUUCUUUUGUCAAGGGAUAAAGUGAGGCUCGAGUGCCUGACCGAGUGUACUUUAAGAAUAAGGAUCGGCUAACUCCGUGCCAGCAGCCGCGGUAAUAGGGAGGAUGCGAGCGUUAUCCGGAUUUAUUGGGUUAAAAGGGGGCGUAGAGGGGCUGUUAAGUCAGCGGUAAAAGCUCGGGGCUCAACCGCGGAGAGCCGUUGAAACUGGGUGUCUUGAGAAGUGUAGAGGUAGGCGGAAUGCGUAGUGUAGCGGUGAAAUGCUUAGAUAUUGCGAAGAACUCCGAUUGCGAAGGCAGCAUACCGGCGG